UACGUAGGGGGCUAGCGUUGUCCGGAUUUAUUGGGCGUAAAGAGCGUGUAGGCGGCCAGGUAGGUCUGCUGUGAAAACUCGAGGCUCAACCUCGAGACGUCGGCGGAAACCAUCUGGCUAGAGUCCGGAAGAGGAGAGUGGAAUUCCUGGUGUAGCGGUGAAAUGCGCAGAUAUCAGGAAGAACACCCGUGGCGAAGGCGGCUCUCUGGGCUCCACCUGACGCUGAGGAGCGAAAGCAUGGGGAGCGAACAGG
rnacentral:rRNA from 1 species